rnacentral:rRNA from 1 species
GACGAACGCUGGCGGCGUGCCUAAUACAUGCAAGUAGAACGCUGAAGGAGGAGCUUGCUCUUCUGGAUGAGUUGCGAACGGGUGAGUAACGCGUAGGCAACCUGCCUGGUAGCGGGGGAUAACUAUUGGAAACGAUAGCUAAUACCGCAUAAGAGUAGAUGUUGCAUGACAUUUACUUAAAAGGUGCAAUUGCAUCACUACCAGAUGGACCUGCGUUGUAUUAGCUAGUUGGUGGGGUAACGGCUUACCAAGGCGACGAUACAUAGCCGACCUGAGAGGGUGAUCGGCCACACUGGGACUGAGACACGGCCCAGACUCCUACGGGAGGCAGCAGUAGGGAAUCUUCGGCAAUGGACGGAAGUCUGACCGAGCAACGCCGCGUGAGUGAAGAAGGUUUUCGGAUCGUAAAGCUCUGUUGUAAGAGAAGAACGAGUGUGAGAGUGGAAAGUUCACACUGUGACGGUAUCUUACCAGAAAGGGACGGCUAACUACGUG